GGGCCCAUGGCGCAAUGGCUAGCGCGCCUCGUUUGCAUCGAGGAGGUUGAGGGUUCAAGUCCCUCUGGGUCCA
rnacentral:tRNA from 1 species